AACCGGGUCAUUACCAGCAGAGGAGGAUGGUUGCUUCGAGCAAGGCCAUCAAGGUCGGGCCGUGGGGAGGCACCGCCGGGAGCCCGUGGGACGACGGCGCGCACCGCGGCUCCGGAGCAUCGCCCUGACGUACGGGCGGUUCCUCGAGUCGAUGAGGGUGGAGUACGACAGGAACGGCCACCCUGUCCACGGCGAGAAGCACGGCGGCGGCGGCGACGGCAGAACAAGCCGCACUGCCGAGGUGAAGCUGGCCUACCCGUACGAGUUCCUGACCGGCGUCGGCGGCCGGUGCGGCCCGGUGGCGCACGGCGGAUCGACGGUGGUUCGGUCGCUGACGUUCCGGACGAGCACGGGGGCGGUGCACGGGCCGUUCGGGGACGCGUCGGGGGACGGGGUGCCGUUCGAGUACCCGAUGGAGGGCGGCGUGGUGGUCGGGUUCAGCGGGAGGAGCGGGUGGUGGCACCUCGACGCCGUCGGCCUGCACGUCGCGGCGCUGCGCCCGGAGACGCUCUGCGACGUGGUCCAGGAGCGCGGCGCCAUGGCGUACCGGUCUUUCGUCUACGGGAACGGCGGCAGCAGCUCGGGAGCGCAUCAGCUGAAGCAGAAGAGGAAGCCGUUCGAGUGGUGCUACAAAUAAGCAGACAAAACGAUUCCUUUUUCUGCGGAAUAAACAGUGAUUGA
rnacentral:lncRNA from 1 species